rnacentral:tRNA from 1 species
UCCCUGGUUGUCUAGUGGUUAAGACUCUGCACUUCUAAUGCAGAGGCGCAGGUUUGAUCCCUGAUCCAGGAA